rnacentral:lncRNA from 1 species
CAGCCACAGGCUCCCAGACAUGACAGCCAUCAUCAAAGAGAUCGUUAGCAGAAACAAAAGGAGAUAUCAAGAGGAUGGAUUCGACUUAGACUUGACCUAUAUUUAUCCAAAUAUUAUUGCUAUGGGAUUUCCUGCAGAAAGACUUGAAGGUGUAUACAGGAACAAUAUUGAUGAUGUAGUAAGGUAAGCACUUCUGAUUUUCUAUUUCAUAUAUUAAUAAAUUAUAUCGAUGUGUUUUAUUUAGAAAAGAUUCUUAACACACAGAACAGUAUUUGCAUUAUGAUGUAGACUUUGUUUUAUUUUGGUAAUACUCUAAAAGUUUUAACCUAAAGCAUCUGAUAGCUCUCAGCUGAUCAGUUCACCGGAUACGAACUGACUUCAUAUGUAAUCAUAUUUGUUUAUGUCAUGAUGGGUUUUUUUUUG